rnacentral:rRNA from 1 species
UACGGAGGGAGCUAGCGUUAUUCGGAAUUACUGGGCGUAAAGCGCACGUAGGCGGCUUUGUAAGUUAGAGGUGAAAGCCCGGGGCUCAACUCCGGAAUUGCCUUUAAGACUGCAUCGCUAGAAUUGUGGAGAGGUAAGUGGAAUUCCGAGUGUAGAGGUGAAAUUCGUAGAUAUUCGGAAGAACACCAGUGGCGAAGGCGACUUACUGGACACAUAUUGACGCUGAGGUGGCGAAAGCGUGGGGAGCAAACAGG